rnacentral:tRNA from 1 species
UCCGGCGUCGUCUAAUGGCAGGACAGCGGAUUUUGAUUCCGCUUAUCAUGGUUCGAAUCCAUGCGCUGGAACCA